UCUUUAAUGAAUGUAAAUAUUGGAUUAGUCUAUAACUAGAAAAACAAUCAAGAAUCAGCCCAGAUUGACUGCUGAAUGCUCUGAGCACAAUGACUUAGUUACUAUGUCACUCUCAAUGUUAUUUAUGCAGCAUAUUUAAUUACAUUAAAAUGUAUUUUCCAUAACAGAUAAAAACAUAAAAAACAACUAUUACAAUGAACUCAGAUGUUUACUUCAUGUUUCACUAGCUGCAGUCAUCCCAUGCAAGAGAAAAAAGUGUGAUCUGCAACAAUAAUGUUGAUAAAAAAAAACAAUGUGUUAAUCUUGCCCAGGGCCACAGAUGCCUAGAUAUAGCCCACACCUUUUCUGAUGAAAACACUCCACAAAUUCAUAUGAAUUCCUAUCUGAUAUGAUUUGCGUGGCUGAAACAACACCAUAAACAUUAUUCUACCUCCUGCUUGUAUUCCGAGGUGCUAGAACAACAACUUUCUGUUGUACAACAUGAAAUUACAGGUUAGUAAUGUAAAUUACGACUUCUUACAAUUCAUAGGAUUGCACUGUUGUAUUGUAAAAAUAGAUCUGAACUAUUUUCUUUUAUUUCUUCCUUUUAAAACACAUGCAAACACAGCUUCUAAGUAACACAAUUGGUAGUCUUGAGCGGUCCAGGAGACUAAGCACAGACCUCCAAGGCUGUCUGUUGAGCAGAGAAGUCUGAAUGAUGGAUGCAUUGAAAUUGCCCCUCUUUUCUUCAGAGUCUCGCCCACAAAGGGUCUGUUUCCCAUUCAGGACACAAGGUCAUUAGAUAAUACACACGAAGAUCUCAAGGCCACACAGUGGGGGCAGGAUCAUUCAGCACAACAAGCCUCCGCGAAAACUCCUCGAUGCCUUAACUCAGUAGUCUCUGCAGGAAGCAUAUGCACAUCCAGAAACAAAUAUACUGACAUGAAAGCUCACAUGCACAUUGAAAUUUCACAGACGGUCACACACGCACACGGAUGGGCUCAAUAGUUUGUCAGUGGGAAUCAUGACAUCAUCAUGUUCCCCUCCAACCUCUCUAUUCAGUCACAGCAGAAUUAUUUAUCCUUUGAAAGUGGGUUAAAUGAAUGCUUAGGAAUGUCCUUUUUCUUUCUUUCUUUUCUAUUUUUCCUCUGAUGUAAUCACAGGCAUAUGCAUCCAUACAUGUUUGUAGAAUUGUUUUAGGCACCUGGUUGGCAGAGACCCAAUCAAGAUUUUGUUAUUCAGCGAAACUGUGGGGGAAAUGCUCUCAAAUGAGGAACUGCUGGUUCAGUGAAGUGUCAGCAUGUAGCAGUUACCAUGGGACAAAAAGUUAUUCUGAACAUGGAAACUCUGAGAGGUUUGCCAAAAUUAAGAAAGAGUGGAAACUGAGCAAGUUAUGCUCUGGAUGGGGAAAAGUGUUUCCACUCCAUUCGUGAAGCUGUCAGAUUUCAGCUUGUCAUGGUUAACUCACAGCGCUCUGAAACUCAUUUCCUGAGUGGCGUCGUUAGUUCCAAAUUGAAGCCAGGAAGAAUGUAGAAAGAAAGUGGGCGGGGGAGAGAGGUUUGAGGCAGAGGGAGAUGAAACAGGGAUGGACCAAGUCUGUCCUCUACUUCCACUUGGGCACAUGCUUGAGCUGGGGCCUUGGAUUUUUUUUCUUCAUCAAAGUGAGUGGAUGUAAAGCGAGAGAGGAGUAUAUUUGCAUGUACUUAAUUUUAACUUUUAUAUAGCAAGCAACAACAUGCUCAUAUCAGAGGAUUACAAAAUACACAAGCACACACACAAUGUGUAUGAAAUUAAAAAAAAAAGAAAAAAAAAAGAGGAAGGCGACUACACAAUAAGACUGGCACUUAUUGUGUAGACUGGCAGAUCACCAUAGUGACAGAUCAGCCAAACCCUAUGACAAAAACACGGAAUGAGUCAAGUGUCAGAUGCUCAGGUUACAUGAGCAUGAUCUCAGUAAAGAAUUCUUAGAACUUAAUAAAUAUAUUUCUUUGUUUGUUCAUUAUUCUGUUCUAGAUCUGACAUUAAAAACAACUGAUUAACUUAAAUUUUUCUGAACUGUGAAUUUAGUUUGAAUAUGGGUUCUUCAUCUAGCUACACCCCCAGGCCUGUAAGAUUUCUCCUAAAACUUUGUUAGUCAUCUUCGCUAUUGCUCUACAUUAAUAAGUCUCGUUGCUCAUAUGGAGUUACUCAUGCAUGCAGUGCUGCCUUUCAAAUUAAGAGGCCUCUCCCUGAAAGACAACCCAUGUCAGGGAUCAGCACAUCUGCAGAAACACGAUCCGGUAAAGCCUCACAACUCCUGGGGGAGAAUAGCAAAGUCAUGGAGAUCCAGGUGCUGCGCACCGAGCCACACCAGCGGCCUGGCGUGCGUAAUGAAGGGCAAUUAAAAGUGGCACAUGUGCACCAAACUGACAUUCAAACAAAGCCAAAGAGGAGUGAAGAUAAUAUAGAAAAGUUCCAGAAAACUUCCAGAACUUCCAGGGAACUGGGCAACCUAAACCUGCUGACCUUGACGGUAACCAUACCCAGUGGGAUCUGGUUCAGCAACACUGUCCGAGGAGUAUCAACUCAAUGACAGCCUUUAACUUCCUCUCUGGUUAUGUCAGACACAUCCUGCACCCAGUAACCUCCUGAAGCUAAACCUCAGGUGAUUGCAUAAGAAGUCUGACUAAAUUUUACUACCCAGAAAAAUUUUAUAAGAAUUUUCUUGGGGCUCACUAGAAGAUGAGAAGAGUUAGUGCAGAAUCUUCAUUCUGUUAUGACAAAUUUGAGCCUUCAACCUACUGACACAACACCGAUACGCUGUGGUUUGCGUCAAACCACAAAAAACAGGAAGUCAGACUCAAAAAGUUCACGUCUGUGUGUCUUUGUAUGACUGCAUGUUUGUUUUCAUGUAUACGGGCUAUAGACAUAAAUAGCUCUCUCUAUGAUAAUCAGUGUAAAUCAUUACAUUUUAAGGCAAAUAAUAAUGCUUGUAUAUGAGUUAGGAUAAACCAAGCAGUACUCAUGUGCAGGAAAUUUGUAUAUACGGAGGUGCGGACGUGUGAAUUAUUAUGUAGGUCAAUUCUCAUGAACCUUACAGAGUUUCAACCACAUCUACAAGUAAGUAGAAGGUUUGUAGGUUAAUCUGAUAGCAUGGCUAAGAUAGCAUAAUGAAGCACUCAAACAGCAAUGCAAAUUUCUGCACAGUGUCAUUCCAGUUUCCCUUUAUCAAAUAACCAUAUCAAGAUACAAUGUUUCUCAAAAGUUUCUAAAAAAUAAAAUAAAAACAAAUAUCUAAUAUAGCUCAAGUGUUCUUUGCAUCUCUUUUCUAAAGAGCUUAUCCAAUUAAAGGUUGUUGACGGUUGCUACAAAUAGGCUUUGGUAGACACGUAAAUACCUUCUUAUUAUAAACAUAAAUUAUUUAAUAUUAGUCAUGCUAUUAGCUAUAAACUGGCAUUUACAACAUUUCUAAUCAAUUUCAUCAAGACCUUUUUUGAACAUUUGAAAUCAGCCUUAAAAAAAGCAUCUUGCCAGUUGUGAGUUACUACUGGGAAUUUAGCAGGAUUUAGGACACGGACACUCGAUCCCUUCUCAAAACUUAAAGGUAACUCCAUCCUCGACUUUUCCCCACUUUGUC